CCCUUUCAACCCAGCCUCUCCUCAAUUCCUCCACCUUUCCUCUCUCUGGCUCUCCCCUUCCCAAUCAAACCGAGCCUCUCUUUAACCCUAGGCUCUCUCUCUCUGUAUUUUCCCCAAAAUUUUCUAUUUCGCUUUCUCUGUCUCUCUCGCCUCUCAUCUCAAUUCUCAAGUCGAGUUCACAUCUCACGUAGAAACAUAAUUUGCAAAUCCUUUCCCUUCAAAUUUCAUACACUGCGAAUCGGUGGGUCUCAACUCAAGUCUUCAGUCGAGUUCACACAUUCUCACAGACUCUGCAAAUCCAUCUCCUUCACACGGAAUCUACAAAUCAGUCGGCCUCAACUCUCAUCUCAUCCCCAAUUCCCCUUCAGUUUAGUGCUUGUAUAAUGUGAUUCCUUCCUCUCCACUUCGUUCCAGGUAAAAUGGUAACAAUUUAGAACUUGUAUUGGUUAAUUUAGUUAAUAAUUUGUGAUUAAUUUUAGGGUUAGGGUUAGGGUUCGUUUGAAACACAAGGGAAAUGAUCGUUUUUCUCUUUUGGGUUAUAAUCAAAAGGGGAUUUGAUCUGGUUCAGAUUCAAACAUACCCAGUUUUGCUUCGAAUGGAAUGUGACCUGCUAUCACUUCGAAUUUAUACUGGAAUGUGAUUGGCUAUUUUUAUGAAUUAACAAAUAUUGAGUUGUAUAUGUACUAAUUAAUGUCUUAGCCAAUGGUAUAUUUGGCUUUGGAAAGCUGUUAUUCAACUUUUUCAUGGCACAAUAAUUAAUUGGAAGGCUGUUAUUCCAUUUUGCUCAAAUUUGUUCAUAUUUCUCGUUGAUUGUUCAUAUUUGUGACUUGUCACUAUGAACGCAUUUGUACAAUUCAGGUUGAUUAUACAACUGGUUUUUCGUAUUUGUACAGUAGGCAAUGAUUAUUUAAGGAAGUUGAACUGGUAGAGUAAUUUAGUUUAGGAAAUAAAGCAUGAAUUGGUACUGGUAGUAGUAUGUAUAAUGUAUUGAUGAACUUACAAUCUAGAAAGAGAAGGGGGUUCCUUAGAAAGCAAAUGAACUGGCACUGGUAGUACUUUGAUAUGUUGUUGUCAAAUUGCUAUGGUACUGGAAGUGGCAAAUGAUUUAUUUGUUCAAGUCUCUUCCAAAUUUUCUCCUAAUCUUCCCUUUAUAGUUAAUUUUAUUUCCAACUAGCUUUUGUAUGCUCUAGUCAAAUUGCUUGAUAUGAUGCCUAUUAAUUUCCAACUAGCUUCCAACUAAAAUUUCCCCGACAAGAACUUCUCUACGUCAUUAUCCAAAGAAGCACAAGAAAGAUGUUGAGGUAGCCUGACUCCAUGGCAGAUCUGGAACUUCUAGGUAUUGAUUUUAAUUAACUCUGUUUUUUUGUGUCAUUUUCGACUGAUUGUGGGAAUGGUUUUGAAUUUGAAUAUAUUUGUUUUGAUGACUAUAUAAUGAUUGUGUAUCUAAUGAAUAUUGUAGUCUGUUAGCCGAGUGGGUCUUUUAUUUACUAACAUCAAGCUAAGGGUUAUGUCAGUCGGUUUCAAUAGGUUUUUGCCAUGGUUACUGUCAAUAGCGGUAAUUCUAGUUGGUCAAUUUCUUUGGUCUGUUACAUAACCUUAAAGGAUAAAAACUUCUCUAGUCUUUGUGCUUGAAUACUGGAAUCAAAAUGAAGAUGAUAAUAUUUAUCUAUAACGAAUCCAACUAGCCAUGUAACCUUGUGCAAAGUCUUAUGGGACUGAACAACCUGGUAAUGCAUUUUUAAGUUUUUUAAUGUUUGAAAGUUUUUUGGUCCUUGAACAUCACUGGAAAUAUGUGGUAGUUUCCCCUCUUGUUGGUUGUGUGAACUGCUUUAUGGAAAAUCUCAGAAAUUUUGUUUGUUUUUUUAUCUUGAACACUUGUAAAUGUAUUUUUUAUGAGGAGUACUUGUAGUUUCCCCUAUUAAUCUUCUACUUCCAUUGUUGGUUGUUUUAGACGGUGGAGUUGUUAUAUAAGAAUCAUCUUUAAGCAGGUGGUGGAAAGGCCCCUAAAGCAAAUAUGAGUCCUCCCACAGAUGAUAGAGGUAUGUCUUUCAUUCUUUAUCCUUUCAUUUUCUUUGCUCUUGUAAAUUGUUUGGUUUUUCUUUAUCUUUGAAUUUAUAUUUAUAUGUAUAUGUAUGUUUGUAUGUAUGUAUGUGUAUCUACUACACUGAAUUCGCAGGCUUUUAGUUUGUUUAAGUGCUAAAUUUUUGUAAAUCUGUAUAUUCAAAUGCUGAAUUUUUUUUACCUAAACUUUGUUUCCCUCUUUUCCCAUACAGGUUGCUCUGCUUGGGUCCAGUUUUAAGCGCAUUGAAAAUGGAGGGGAAAUUGAUGCUAGUGCACCUUGGGACUACGCUGAGAUUCAGAUUUUUCCAUCCCAGAACAGGUUAGGUUUUCGCCUUCUGGUAAAUGUUAUUCUUUUAAGGGCAUAUGUUUUCUCCUCUGUUGUAUUGGAUUAAAAGAUUGUUCUUUCUGUAUACGCUACACUAAGUGCAUUAUUAUUUCCCAUUGGUGAUUCCUCUUGUCUGGUUAUUCCAUUGGAGAGUAACUACAUGUUUUUUUUUUUUUUUGGUAUUAGAAUUGAUAAGUUACCUUUCCUCUCUUCCGACUUAUAAUAGAUUGAUAAAUUAUAAUGAUUUUUCAUAUUGUUGUAUAGUUCCCUACCGAGCGGAAGCACGAAAGACAUUAUCAAAAGCUGAAAACUACUUGAUUAUUAGCAGGUUAGAUUUCAUAAAACUUAUUUAUUAGCUUGUCCUUGCCGGGUUAUUUGUUUUUUUACUUAUUCUUUGACCUUUUCCUCAAUUUGGCUGGUUGUUGCAUUAUGAUGCCAAGAGUAUAUCUUUCUACUAUUAUAAUUAGGACUAGUAUAACAACUUGCUAUUUAGCUACUCUCUUACAUAAGAAAUCGUUAAAGUUUACGGUAUGUGUAUUUAGGCAAUGAUUGAAAAACAUUUAUGUAUUUUGGUUGGCGUUUCUGUCGAAACUUUGCUACAUAGUCUUUGAAAAGAAAAUAGCAAUGCAUCAGCAUCGCUGCUUUUACUACUCGAUAGAUUUAUUACUCAUGUUCAUUUUCAGAGGCUGGAGCAGGAGCUGAAGGUUGUUUGCGGUGGUUAAGGGUUGUCUGGCAUGCGAGGAACUCGAGAGUAAUGGUAUUUGUUAGGUUCUUAGAUUUAGUUAAUAGUUUUUCAUGGAAUAAAAAAUGUAUUAGGAAUUAUUUUCAUUAUCUGUAUGAAUAAUUUCUUAUUGAUGGUAUUACUAUUUGAAUUUUUUUUAAAAAUAUAUUUAUCCUAUU
rnacentral:lncRNA from 1 species